UGGGGAAUUUUGGACAAUGGGCGCAAGCCUGAUCCAGCCAUGCCGCGUGCAGGAUGAAGGCCUUCGGGUUGUAAACUGCUUUUGUACGGAACGAAAAGGUGCCUUCUAAUAAAGGGCGCUCAUGACGGUACCGUAAGAAUAAGCACCGGCUAACUACGUGCCAGCGGCCGCGGUAAUACGUAGGGUGCGAGCGUUAAUCGGAAUUACUGGGCGUAAAGCGUGCGCAGGCGGUUUUGUAAGACAGAGGUGAAAUCCCCGGGCUCAACCUGGGAACUGCCUUUGUGACUGCAAGGCUGGAGUGCAGCAGAGGGGGAUGGAAUUCCGCGUGUAGCAGUGAAAUGCGUAGAUAUGCGGAGGAACACCGAUGGCGAAGGCAAUCCCCUGGGCCUGCACUGACGCUCAUGCACGAAAGCGUGGGGAGCAAACA
rnacentral:rRNA from 1 species